UUAGGGUUAGGGUUUUGCUUCUUGUUGGGUUCGCUGAGCAGUGGAGGCUUCUCUAGCCUACGGCUUCGGAGCUCGAGAUAAGAGGUGUCUGGCUUCGGCCCUUCCUGGUGAGUCGUUUUCUGGAGCCUCUGCAAAGCUAGGGUUUUGGCUCUGGUUCGAACGCCCAGAGAAGAUGACACCUCCAUGACUGUCACGUCGCCUGUGAUUUUAGCUUUCUUCAUGUACUUCCCCAUAUUCUUCUUCUGCUUCUUCUAGCAAAGCUUCAUGGGAUGUUUAGAAAGAGAAUAGAGGGGAGAAUUUAGAGAGAGAAAGAGAGGAGUUUCUCAGAGAGAGGGAGAGAGGGG
rnacentral:lncRNA from 1 species